rnacentral:rRNA from 1 species
UACGGGGGGAGCAAGCGUUGUUCGGAUUUACUGGGCGUAAAGGGCGCGUAGGCGGCCACGACAAGUCACUUGUGAAAUCUCCGGGCUUAACUCGGAAAGGUCAAGUGAUACUGUCGGGCUAGAGUACAGAAGGGGCAACUGGAAUUCUCGGUGUAGCGGUGAAAUGCGUAGAUAUCGAGAGGAACACCUGCGGCGAAAGCGGCUCUCUGGACCACAACUGACGCUGAGGCGCGAAAGCUAGGGGAGCAAACAGG